UGCUAAUGCCAUCGCGAUAAGAAUGUGCGAACCAGGUCAGGAUAGGAAUAUAGCAGCCUUAAACAUUAUUCUUAUGUGCGGUGGUUUGUUUAUUUUU
rnacentral:SRP_RNA from 1 species